UACGUAGGGUGCAAGCGUUGUCCGGAAUUAUUGGGCGUAAAGAGCUCGUAGGCGGCUUGUUGCGUCGACUGUGAAAACCCGUGGCUCAACCAUGUGGUCUGCAGUCGAUACGGGCAGGCUAGAAUUCGGUAGGGGAGACUGGAAUUCCUGGUGUAGCGGUGAAAUGCGCAGAUAUCAGGAAGAACACCCGUGGCGAAGGCGGCUCUCUGGGACGGUACUGACGCUGAGACGCGAAAGCGUGGGGAGCGAACAGG
rnacentral:rRNA from 1 species